UUUUACAUGUGAAUUUGGAACAUGUAGUUUCACAUGUGAACACAUAUGAAAUUAUGUGUUUCACAUGUUCCAAGUUCACAUGUGAAA